rnacentral:tmRNA from 1 species
GGGGGUGAUUGGUGUCGACCUGUGCGAUGUCAUCUUCGGACGCGAGCCGAGGCGCCGCUGGCCUCGUAAAAAGCGGCAAAAAAAUAAAAGCGAACACUAACCAGUACGCAAUGGCGGCCUAAGGGCCGCCACGUCCACCCGUCUCCCGCCGGCCGAGACGGCUUUGGGCGUCACCCAUGCCGGAUAACCCGAGUGAUCCCGUCCGCGGAGACUUAGGGGAAAAGAUAGCGGAAUAGCCGAUCGUCAUCCCGUCCCUGGGAGGGCGCGAGGCGAAGUUAAAUCGGGGACUACGCUCGUAGCGGCCGCUGGUGUAUCCUCGGGGACCGGGGUUCGAGUCCCCGCACCUCCACCA